GACGAACGCUGGCGGCGUGCUUAACACAUGCAAGUCGAACGGUGAAGCGCCUUCCUUUUUGGUGGGUGUGGAUGAGUGGCGAACGGGUGAGUAACACGUGAGUAACCUGCCCCCUUCUUCUGGAUAACCGCAUGAAAGUGUGGCUAAUACGGGAUAUUCUGGGUCUGUCGCAUGAUGGGUCUGGGAAAGAUAUUGUUUCGGUGGGGGAUGGGCUCGCGGCCUAUCAGCUUGUUGGGGGGGUGAUGGCCUACCAAGGCGGUGACGGGUAGCCGGCCUGAGAGGGUGGACGGACACACAGGGACAGAGGCACGGCCCAGACUCGUACGGGAGGCAGCAGGGGGGAAUGUUGCACAAUGGGCGCAAGCCUGAUGCAGCGACGCCGCGUGAGGGAUGGAGGCCUUCGGGUUGUGAACCUCUUUCGCCAGUGAAGCAGGCCUGCCUCGUUUGUGGGUGGGUUGACGGUAGCUGGAUAAGAAGCGCCGGCUAACUACGUG
rnacentral:rRNA from 1 species